rnacentral:rRNA from 1 species
CCUACGGGUGGCAGCAGUCGAGAAUCAUUCACAAUGGGGGAAACCCUGAUGGUGCGACGCCGCGUGGGGGAAUGAAGGUCUUCGGAUUGUAAACCCCUGUCAUGUGGGAGCAAAUUAAAAAGAUAGUACCACAAGAGGAAGAGACGGCUAACUCUGUGCCAGCAGCCGCGGUAAUACAGAGGUCUCAAGCGUUGUUCGGAAUCACUGGGCGUAAAGCGUGCGUAGGCUGUUUCGUAAGUCGUGUGUGAAAGGCCCGGGCUCAACCCGCGGACGGCACAUGAUACUGCGAGACUAGAGUAAUGGAGGGGGAACCGGAAUUCGCGGUGUAGCAGUGAAAUGCGUAGAUAUCGAGAGGAACACUCGUGGCGAAGGCGGGUUCCUGGACAUUAACUGACGCUGAGGCACGAAGGCCAGGGGAGCGAAAGGGAUUAGAUACCCUGGUAGUC